rnacentral:rRNA from 1 species
UACGAAGGGGGCUAGCGUUGUUCGGAUUUACUGGGCGUAAAGCGCGCGCAGGCGGCUUUGCAAGUCAGGGGUGAAAUCCCAGAGCUCAACUCUGGAAUUGCCUUUGGGACUGCGAGGCUUUGAGGACGAGAGAGGUGAGUGGAAUUCCCAGUGUAGAGGUGAAAUUCGUAGAUAUUGGGAAGAACACCGGUGGCGAAGGCGGCUCACUGGCUCGUUUCUGACGCUGUAGCGCGAAAGCGUGGGGAUCAAACAGG